UCCUGGGGAGAUUCUAAUUGCUUGAGUUCCAUUGUUUGAAUAGUCUAAUGGGUCAAAGGGAGGGGCAUAAGCUCCUCUCUUUACAGCAUCUUUGUCCUGCGGUACCAUUACAGCAAUGGAUAUUGGGGGAAACCAAGAAAUGCAGACCUUAUGACUCAGAUCCACAAAGACUCUGCCACAAGGAGGUCCUCAAGGGUUAUAAGUGGAAGAUCUCCAGGAGGGAAGCUGCAAUCCUUAAUUCAUUCAUAUCCAGCUACACCACAGCCUGGGAACUGUAUUUUACACUACAACGCCAGACACACAUACCCAAACCUGAAGCUCUUAGUAAUAGUGCAUGUUAUUUCCUUGACCCUUUUAUUCCAUUCUGGUUCAGUUUACUCGGUGUGAAGAGCACCAGUUACGUGACCUAAGAUUUCUUGGACGGUGACUACAGCCAGUGUGAAGAAAAUUCUGGCAUUUCCUUUCCUCUUUGCUCCAGUCUGACGAGUCUGUUGUGUGCUGCUGUCAUAGAGCACCCGAAACUGGGUCACUGAUCAUCCUUCAGUUCUGGAAAUGGAAGAACCCAAGGUCAAAGGCUCCC